UGACAUCCACGGUGUUCAAGAGAUGCGGUGUUGAUGUCUCGCUGCCUCGUGCACUGUUCCAGGUUUCAAGUUCCCACGACCGGGACUUCCACAGCGGGUGUUAGGCCCAUAGAGACCGGGAACCGGUGCGCGCCAGCGACGCAUACUAGAGUCAGGUUGCUUGAGAGUGCAGCUUAAAGUCGGUGGUAAACUCCAUCCAAGACUAAAUACUACAGCGAGACCGAUAGCAAACAAGUACCGUGAGGGAAAGUUGCAAAGCACUUUGAAGAGAGAGUUCAAAAGUACGUGAAACCACUGGCAGGCAAACAGAUGGAACCACGAAGUGUGCGCCUCGGUCGAUUCAAUCACCCGCACGUUUCCACGGUCGCGGUCUSGGGGCUCUUCGGAGUCUGGACCGCGGCGGUUGCGGAGCGCGCGGAUGGUGCAUUUCGUGCCGGGGAUGCUAAGCCACGUUCAACCAGACAGCUGGGACGGCCGUCGGACAGGGCCGAAGAAAGGUACCCGUCGGGUGCUCGCACCUGAUGGCGUUAUAGGCUUCGGUCGGCACCGUCGCCUAGCACACUGGUUGAUGAAAGUUCUCCGCAAGGAGUCCAGCUCGGGCUGCCUGCGGCCGUCAGUCGUCGUUGCGGCGCGUUCUUUGCGUAUCUUUCGAUGCGAAAAGGCGCGCCAAAAGCGGCGGCCGGCGGUCGCUUGCACGUCCGGGCGGAACUGUGGCGCGAGUAGGUCGGUCUCCAUCUGACCCGUCUUGAAACACGGACCAAGGAGCCUAUCAUGUACGCGAGUCGCUCGGUCUUGCACAGGCCCGGGAGGCGCAAUGAAAGUAAAGUUACGAGGCCUCGCGGUCGCAGUAACGGCUCGCCUACUUCGUUUUUUCGGCGAUAUGGCGAAGCUGGAGCGUACACGAUGGUACCCGAAAGAUGGUGAACUAUGCCUGGGCAAGACGAAGCCAGAGGAAACUCUGGUGGAGGUCUGUAGCGAUUCUGACGUGCAAAUCGAUCGUCAGACCUGGGUAUAGGGGCGAAAGACUAAUCGAACCAUCUAGUAGCUGGUUCCCUCCGAAGUUUCCCUCAGGAUAGCAGGCGCUUAUUUCUAAAUUAUUAUGACACAGUCUCAUCCGGUAAAGCUAAUGAUUAGAGGUCUUGGGGUUGAAACGACCUCAACCUAUUCUCAAACUUUAAAUGGGUGAGAUGGUUGACUUGCUUGAUCGAAGCCAACCAUUUGGAUGCAAGUGCCUAGUGGGCCAUUUUUGGUAAGCAGAACUGGCGCUGUGGGAUGAACCAAACGUCGAGAUAAGGCAUCAAAUGCGUACGCUCAUCAGACCCCAUGAAAGG
rnacentral:rRNA from 1 species